UACGUAGGGUGCAGGCGUUAAUCGGAAUUACUGGGCGUAAAGCGUGCGCAGGCGGCUCCUUAAGUCAGAUGUGAAAUCCCCGGGCUUAACCUGGGAACUGCGUUUGAAACUGGGGAGCUGGAGUGUAGAAGAGGGGGGUGGAAUUCCAGGUGUAGCAGUGAAAUGCGUAGAGAUCUGGAGGAACACCGAUGGCGAAGGCAGCCCCCUGGGCUAACACUGACGCUCAUGCACGAAAGCGUGGGGAGCGAACAGG
rnacentral:rRNA from 1 species